rnacentral:rRNA from 1 species
UUGUAUAAUGGGUCAGCGACUUAUAUUCUGUAGCAAGGUUAACCGAAUAGGGGAGCCGGAGGGAAACCGAGUCUUAAUUGGGCGUUAAGUUGCAGGGUAUAGACCCGAAACCCGGUGAUCUAGCCAUGGGCAGGUUGAAGGUUGGGUAACACUAACUGGAGGACCGAACCGACUAAUGUUGAAAAAUUAGCGGAUGACCUGUGGCUGGGGGUGAAAGGCCAAUCAAACCGGGAGAUAGCUGGUUCUCCCCGAAAGCUAUUUAGGUAGCGCCUCGUGAAUUCAUCUCCGGGGGUAGAGCACUGUUUCGGCUAGGGGGCCAUCCCGGCUUACCAACCCGAUGCAAACUGCGAAUACCGGAGAAUGUUAUCACGGGAGACACACGGCGGGUGCUAACGUCCGUCGUGAAGAGGGAAACAACCCAGACCGCCAGCUAAGGUCCCAAAGUCAUGGUUAAGUGGGAAACGAUGUGGGAAGGCCCAGACAGCCAGGAUGUUGGCUUAGAAGCAGCCAUCAUUUAAAGAAAGCGUAAUAGCUCACUGGUCGAGUCGGCCUGCGCGGAAGAUGUAACGGGGCUAAACCAUGCACCGAAGCUGCGGCAGCGACGUUUAUGCGUUGUUGGGUAGGGGAGCGUUCUGUAAGCCUGCGAAGGUGGCCUGUGAGGGUUGCUGGAGGUAUCAGAAGUGCGAAUGCUGACAUAAGUAACGAUAAAGCGGGUGAAAAGCCCGCUCGCCGGAAGACCAAGGGUUCCUGUCCAACGUUAAUCGGGGCAGGGUGAGUCGACCCCUAAGGCGAGGCCGAAAGGCGUAGUCGAUGGGAAACGGGUUAAUAUUCCCGUACUUGGUGUUACUGCGAAGGGGGGACGGAGAAGGCUAUGUUGGCCGGGCGACGGUUGUCCCGGUUUAAGCGUGUAGGUGUGUGUUCCAGGUAAAUCCGGUUCACUUUAACACUGAGGCGUGAUGACGAGGCACUACGGUGCUGAAGCAACAAAUGCCCUGCUUCCAGGAAAAGCCUCUAAGCAUCAGGUAACACGAAAUCGUACCCCAAACCGACACAGGUGGUCAGGUAGAGAAUACCAAGGCGCUUGAGAGAACUCGGGUGAAGGAACUAGGCAAAAUGGUGCCGUAACUUCGGGAGAAGGCACGCUGACACGUAGGUGAAGUGAUUUACUCAUGGAGCUGAAGUCAGUCGAAGAUACCAGCUGGCUGCAACUGUUUAUUAAAAACACAGCACUGUGCAAACACGAAAGUGGACGUAUACGGUGUGACGCCUGCCCGGUGCCGGAAGGUUAAUUGAUGGGGUCAGCGCAAGCGAAGCUCCUGAUCGAAGCCCCGGUAAACGGCGGCCGUAACUAUAACGGUCCUAAGGUAGCGAAAUUCCUUGUCGGGUAAGUUCCGACCUGCACGAAUGGCGUAAUGAUGGCCAGGCUGUCUCCACCCGAGACUCAGUGAAAUUGAACUCGCUGUGAAGAUGCAGUGUACCCGCGGCAAGACGGAAAGACCCCGUGAACCUUUACUAUAGCUUGACACUGAACAUUGAGCCUUGAUGUGUAGGAUAGGUGGGAGGCUUUGAAGUGUGGACGCCAGUCUGCAUGGAGCCGACCUUGAAAUACCACCCUUUAAUGUUUGAUGUUCUAACGUGGACCCGUUACCCGGGUUGCGGACAGUGUCUGGUGGGUAGUUUGACUGGGGCGGUCUCCUCCUAAAGAGUAACGGAGGAGCACGAAGGUUGGCUAAUCCUGGUCGGACAUCAGGAGGUUAGUGCAAUGGCAUAAGCCAGCUUGACUGCGAGCGUGACGGCGCGAGCAGGUGCGAAAGCAGGUCAUAGUGAUCCGGUGGUUCUGAAUGGAAGGGCCAUCGCUCAACGGAUAAAAGGUACUCCGGGGAUAACAGGCUGAUACCGCCCAAGAGUUCAUAUCGACGGCGGUGUUUGGCACCUCGAUGUCGGCUCAUCACAUCCUGGGGCUGAAGUAGGUCCCAAGGGUAUGGCUGUUCGCCAUUUAAAGUGGUACGCGAGCUGGGUUUAGAACGUCGUGAGACAGUUCGGUCCCUAUCUGCCGUGGGCGCUGGAGAACUGAGGGGGGCUGCUCCUAGUACGAGAGGACCGGAGUGGACGCAUCACUGGUGUUCGGGUUGUCAUGCCAAUGGCACUGCCCGGUAGCUAAAUGCGGAAGAGAUAAGUGCUGAAAGCAUCUAAGCACGAAACUUGCCCCGAGAUGAGUUCUCCCUGAGACUUAGAGUCUCCUGAAGGAACGUUGAAGACGACGACGUUGAUAGGCCGGGUGUGUAAGCGCAGCGAUGCGUUGAGCUAACCGGUACUAAUGAACCGUGAGGCUUAACCUUACAACGCCGAAG